CCAUCUGAGAGGAGUAAAGAGGGCAAAAGUGGGCUCUCUCUCUCUCUCUCUCUCUCUCUCUCUCUCUCUCUCUCUCUCUCUCUCUCUCUCUCUCUCUCUGUUGUGUGCAUGUGGCUGGAGAUGGAAGUCUUUCCUCUAUUGCUCUCUGUCUCACUGGACUUCACUUGACUUUCACAGGUUGCUGGGGAUCUAAACUCAAGCCUUCAUCCUGGAGCAGCCGGCAUUUUUCCCACUGAGCCAGCUCCCCAGCCUGCGAGUGGGCUGGCUGGGAUGUGAGAACCUUCUCCCACCUUCCAGGUCUAGGGAUCACAGCCUUGGAGGGGUUUCUCUGUGGUUUUGGAGCCUGUCCUGGAACUAGCUCUUGUAGACCAGUCCCUCGUGUGCUCUGACGGCCUGGUGGGAGUGACUUCCUCUAUUGCUGAUGGUCUGAGCUCUAUACCCUGCCCAGCUACUCACCGUUCCCGUGAGCAGUUCAUACAGAAGUGACCCAUAGCUCCACCAGUCACAGGCUUCCGUCAGCUCAGAAAUCCCCCCGACCUCUGCAAGAACAAGAACACGGAGAGUGCUGUCACCGAAGGGUAAAGAGCCAAGCAUGGAUUUACAGCGACUGUGCCAUGACCCGAGGGUGUGCCGCACAUUUUAAAGUCACUAAAUAGGGCUGGAGAGAUGACUCAGCGGUUAAGAGCAUUGCCUGCUCUUCCAAAGGUCCCGAGUUCAAUUCCCAGCAACCACAUGGUGGCUCACAACCAUCUAUAAUGAGGUCUGGUACCCUCUUCUAGCCUGCAGGCAUACAUGUAGACAGAAUACUAUAUACAUAAUAAAUAAAUAAACAUUUAAAAAAAAUAAAGUCACUAAAUAGCGGCCACACAGCUCAGUUCCCGUCUUGACAGCUUUAGUUCCCAGCCGCUCUGUGGCCACCGGGGAGGGGCAGUGACUGGGAAAGUGCAAAGAGACUAAAGGAAAUGGUAACACGAUGGCAGCUGAAUAAAUGCCCUCGUCCCCUGCCUAGGGUGGGGACAUCCUCCACAGGAUGUCCCCUGCUCCCUCAGCACCACACACAAGUUCACAGCAGCCUGGC